GGGUAAGAUAAAGAAACUGUAAUAUCACAUUGCAGAUAUGUGCCGUUCUCUAUCCUGGUGAUGCUAGAGAAGAAGGGAAGCUUCUAAGGCUAAAGCAGCAGUUUUUCCUUUGCAGCGCAUCACUUCAGGAUAUGAUUGCCAGGUUUAAAGAAAGGAAAGCUGACAGAGUUUCAGGGAAGUGGAGUGAGUUCCCUUCCAAAGUUGCUGUUCAACUGAAUGACACCCACCCUACUCUUGCAAUCCCUGAGCUAAUGAGGUUACUCAUGGAUGAGGAGGGACUUGGUUGGGAUGAAGCUUGGGAUAUCACAUACAGGACUGUUUCCUACACCAAUCAUACAGUUGUUCCUGAAGCUCU